rnacentral:rRNA from 1 species
GGGUUGUGAGGUUAAGCGACUAAGCGUACACGGUGGAUGCCCUGGCAGUCAGAGGCGAUGAAGGACGUGCUAAUCUGCGAUAAGCGCCGGUAAGGUGAUAUGAACCGUUAUAACCGGCGAUUUCCGAAUGGGGAAACCCAGUGUGACUCGUCACACUAUCAUUAACUGAAUCCAUAGGUUAAUGAGGCGAACCGGGGGAACUGAAACAUCUAAGUACCCCGAGGAAAAGAAAUCAACCGAGAUUCCCCCAGUAGCGGCGAGCGAACGGGGAGGAGCCCAGAGCCUGAAUCAGCAUGUGUGUUAGUGGAAGCGUCUGGAAAGGCGCGCGAUACAGGGUGACAGCCCCGUACACAAAAGCGCAUGUGCUGUGAGCUCGAUGAGUAGGGCGGGACACGUGGUAUCCUGUCUGAAUAUGGGGGGACCAUCCUCCAAGGCUAAAUACUCCUGACUGACCGAUAGUGAACCAGUACCGUGAGGGAAAGGCGAAAAGAACCCCGGCGAGGGGAGUGAAAAAGAACCUGAAACCGUGUACGUACAAGCAGUGGGAGCACCCUUUGGGGUGUGACUGCGUACCUUUUGUAUAAUGGGUCAGCGACUUAUAUUCUGUAGCAAGGUUAACCGAAUAGGGGAGCCGGAGGGAAACCGAGUCUUAAUUGGGCGUUAAGUUGCAGGGUAUAGACCCGAAACCCGGUGAUCUAGCCAUGGGCAGGUUGAAGGUUGGGUAACACUAACUGGAGGACCGAACCGACUAAUGUUGAAAAAUUAGCGGAUGACCUGUGGCUGGGGGUGAAAGGCCAAUCAAACCGGGAGAUAGCUGGUUCUCCCCGAAAGCU